ensembl:snRNA U6 U6 spliceosomal RNA
GUGCUCAUUUUGGCAGCACAUGCACCCAAACUGGAACAAUACAGGGCUGAUUAGCAUGAGAGCUGCCAAGGGUGACACACACGUUUGUAAAGCAUUCCAUAUUUUU